AAUGGGCGCAAGCCUGAUCCAGCCAUGCCGCGUGUAUGAAGAAGGCCUUCGGGUUGUAAAGUACUUUUGUCAGGGAAGAAAAGCCUGAGGAUAACACCCUCAGGUCAUGACGGUACCUGAAGAAUAAGCACCGGCUAACUACGUGCCAGCAGCCGCGGUAAUACGUAGGGUGCGAGCGUUAAUCGGAAUUACUGGGCGUAAAGCGAGCGCAGACGGUUAUUUAAGCAAGAUGUGAAAGCCCCGGGCUCAACCUGGGAACUGCGUUUUGAACUGGGUAACUAGAGUGUGUCAGAGGGGGGUAGAAUUCCACGUGUAGCAGUGAAAUGCGUAGAGAUGUGGAGGAAUACCGAUGGCGAAGGCAGCCCCCUGGGAUAACACUGACGUUCAUGCUCGAAAGCGUGGGUAGCAAA
rnacentral:rRNA from 1 species